UUCAUCAACUGCGGAAGGAAAUAGAUGUAGAUCCUCCCCAUCACCAGAAUCAGAUAAUAACUAGACAGAAUUUGACCCAACGAUCAUUAUCUUUUUUGAACAAGCCUGGAAUGUCUAUAUUGCUCCUUGAGAUAUUAAACUACAGACUACUUCCUCUAUACAGGUUGCUAUUGAAGGUUGGAGCAAAUGCCUUUUGUCGCUUGAAG